GUGAGGAAUAUUGGUCAAUGGGCGGGAGCCUGAACCAGCCAAGUCGCGUGAAGGAAGAAGGAUCUAUGGUUCGUAAACUUCUUUUGCAGGGGAAUAAAGUGCAGGACGUGUCCUGUUUUGUAUGUACCCUGAGAAUAAGGAUCGGCUAACUCCGUGCCAGCAGCCGCGGUAAUACGGAGGAUCCGAGCGUUAUCCGGAUUUAUUGGGUUUAAAGGGUGCGUAGGUGGCUUGAUAAGUCAGCGGUGAAAGUUUGCAGCUUAACUGUAAAAAUGCCGUUGAAACUGUCGGACUUGAGUGUAAAUGAGGUAGGCGGAAUGCGUGGUGUAGCGGUGAAAUGCAUAGAUAUCACGCAGAACUCCGAUUGCGAAGGCAGCUUACUAAGCUACAACUGACACUGAAGCACGAAAGCGUGGGGAUCAAACAGGAUUAGAUACCCCGGUAGUCC
rnacentral:rRNA from 1 species